GGAUGAACGUUGGCGGCGUGCCUAAUACAUGCAAGUCGAACGAAGACUGUAGUAAUACUGUCUUAGUGGCGAACGGGUGAGUAACGCGUGGGUGACCUGCCCCGAAGUGUGGGAUAACAGUUCGAAAGGAUUGCUAAUACUGCAUAAUAUCCAAGAGAUUAGACGCUUUUGGAUUAAAGGAGUAAUUCGCUUCGGGAGGGGCCCGCGUCCCAUCAGCUAGUUGGUAAGGUAAUGGCUUACCAAGGCGAUGACGGGUAGGGGACCUGAGAGGGUGGCCCCCCACAAUGGAACUGAAACACGGUCCAUACACCUACGGGUGGCAGCAGUAGGGAAUAUUAGAAAUGGACGAAAGUCUGAUCUAGCAACACCGCGUGUGCGAAGAAGGCCUUCGGGUCGUAAAGCACUUUUUGGAAGGAAUAGGAAGGAAUGUACUUCCAGAAUAAGUCUCGGCUAACUACGUGCCAGCAGCCGCGGUAACACGUAGGAGGCAAACGUUAUCCGGAUUUACUGGGCGUAAAGCGCGUGUAGGUGGUACUGUAAGUAGGGCGUGAAAGCUCCUGGCUCAACUGGGAGAGGCCGUUCUAAACUACAGUACUAGAGGAUGGUAGAGGGAGGUGGAAUUCCAGGUGUAGCGGUGGAAUGCGCAGAUAUCUGGAGGAACACCGGUGGCGAAGGCGGCCUCCUGGACCAUUCCUGACACUCAGACGCGAAAGCUAGGGUAGCAAACGGAAUUAGAGACUCCGGUAGUCCUAGCCCUAAACGAUGCAGACUAGGCGUCGGCGGUUUAAUCACCGUCGGUGUCCAAGCUAACGCGAUAAGUCUGCCGCCUGAGGACUACGGCCGCAAGGCUAAAACUCAAAGGAAUUGACGGGUCCCCGCACAAGCAGCGGAGCGUGUGGUUUAAUUCGAUGCUCCGCGAAGAACCUUACCUGGGUUUGACAUAACAGUGGUAGAGAAGUGAAAACGGACCGACCCCUCGGGGAGCUGUUACAGGUGUUGCAUGGCUGUCGUCAGCUCGUGUCGUGAGAUGUUCGGUUAAGUCCGCUAACGAGCGCAACCCGCGCUGUGUGUUACAAGUGUCACACAGUACCGCCGGUAUUAAGUCGGAGGAAGGUGCGGAUGACGUCAAGUCAGCAUGACCUUUAUAUCCAGGGCUACACACACGCUACAAUGGUCAGCACAAUAGGUUGCCAAGCCGCAAGGCGGAGCCAAUCCUCCAAAGCUGGCCUCAGUUCAGAUUGCAGGCUGCAACUCGCCUGCAUGAAGUCGGAGUUGCUAGUAACCGCAGGUCAGCAUACUGCGGUGAAUACGUUCCCGGGGAU
rnacentral:rRNA from 1 species